UACCGCAGGUCCGGGUCUCACGUAGUGAGACAACGGAGCCGCUUGCGGCGACGGCCCGAAGGGCGAGCAAAGCGAGUCAUCCUGCACGACCCACCA
rnacentral:sRNA from 1 species